ACUGUCUCCUAGCUUGUUUGUUUAAAAAAAAAAAUCCCAUGGUCUUCAAUUUGGUCAUUUAAAAAUAAUCUACAAGGUAUACUGUUUUUCUGUUCUUGUUAUUUCCUAACUUUUAAGGUUUCUAUUUUUCCACCCUGUAGAUCUUGUUCUCACUAGAGAAUAAUUUCUACAUUAUGCCCAGGUUCUUCUGAGCUAUGAAGGGGCCCAGAUUUAAGGGCUAUUUUUGACACCCUAAAUGUGCUGAGACAAGUCAUUAAGGUGGUCCUGCCAGGACACAGCCAUCUAAAGCAGCAAUCUGCUUCUUGCCAGAAAAUCUCGUGCCUCUGCAGAGCCUUUUCCAGAAUGAACCACACCAUGCUGAGGUAGGGUAGAAGGGGCAGUACACCAAUAGGCCUGGGUAUUCUAGAACAAUAGGCCUAGAACUUCUCAUCAGCUCCUGUUUCUUUUCAUCUCUAGGAAAGGAGAAAGAGACUACCUACUGCAUUUCUGUCACUCGCUGAAAAGGACACUCUGUCAGAAAAUCUUCUAGCAAACUUCAAAGGGCAAAAUCACCCCUUGUUACUGAUAAAGCCCAGAGAGCUUCAGCAGCUAACAUUCCCUGGACAGGGCACAGCAAGGAUUUGAACCUAGGUCAGUCUGGCCAGAACACCCACAAGCUUUCCUUAACUCAGUGUGCUAUCUCCCCACGACUAGGUCACUACUGCUUUAUAAUCACCUUUGUAGCCACCAGUGGAUUUUGCUCAUCAGUAUUUUUCAGGCAAUUGAUACUUUAGAUAUUCAGCUGCAAGACGUAUGCAGUUUUCAUUGACAUCUUUUGGAGAAACUGACAAACCUGGACUUGACUUAAUGCCUUUGGAACCUUCCAAGAUGUUAUAUAACUCUAGAUAGAAGGCUGGGCCUCCAUGAUGUCAGGAAUGUUGCAUUCUUAUUUCCCCAUAGAUAAACCCAUUUGUCCACAAAGUCAAGGAGUCAGGCAGAGGCCCUUGCCAUGGGGCUUUUUAGGAUAAAGCAACAAGCCUGGACUUUGCUCUACAACAGGGUUUUGCAUAGGGAGUGGUAUGACCAGAUCCCUCAAGAAAGAAAGCUUAGAGACCAGGCCAGAG
ensembl:lncRNA MIR4435-2HG MIR4435-2 host gene